AGGCCGCAAGUCACUAGCUGUUGGGGCCGUUAGGCCUUAGUAGCGCAGCUAACGCGUGAAGUUGACCGCCUGGGGAGUACGGUCGCAAGAUUAAAACUCAAAGGAAUUGACGGGGACCCGCACAAGCGGUGGAUGAUGUGGAUUAAUUCGAUGCAACGCGAAAAACCUUACCUACCCUUGACAUGUCUGGAAAGCCGAAGAGAUUUGGCCGUGCUCGCAAGAGAACCGGAACACAGGUGCUGCAUGGCUGUCGUCAGCUCGUGUCGUGAGAUGUUGGGUUAAGUCCCGCAACGAGCGCAACCCUUGUCAUUAGUUGCUACGCAAGAGCACUCUAAUGAGACUGCCGGUGACAAACCGGAGGAAGGUGGGGAUGACGUCAAGUCCUCAUGGCCCUUAUGGGUAGGGCUUCACACGUCAUACAAUGGUCGGGACAGAGGGUCGCCAACCCGCGAGGGGGAGCCAAUCUCAGAAACCCGAUCGUAGUCCGGAUCGCAGUCUGCAACUCGACUGCGUGAAGUCGGAAUCGCUAGUAAUCGCGGAUCAGAAUGUCGCGGUGAAUACGUUCCCGGGUCUUGUACACACCGCCCGUCACACCAUGGGAGUGGGUUUCACCAGAAGUAGGUAGCCUAACCGCAAGGAGGGCGCUUACCACGGUGGGAUUCAUGACUGGGGUGAAGUCGUAACAAAGUAACCGUAAGCGGGUUC
rnacentral:rRNA from 1 species